CACGGACCAAGGAGUCUAGCAUGUGCGCAAGUCAUUGGGAGCACAUUAGCUAACCCUAAAGGCACAAUGAAAGUGAAGGUCGUACCUCGAGUCGGCCUAGGGAAGAUGAGCGCGGCCUCCGAUUAUUCGUGCCCGCUCCGCAUUCCCGGGGCGUCUCGUUCUCAUUGCGAGAAGAGGCGCACCAAGAGCGUACACGCUGGGACCCGAAAGAUGGUGAACUAUGCCUGGUCAGGACGAAGUCAGGGGAAACCCUGAUGGAGGUCCGUAGCGAUUCUGACGUGCAAAUCGAUCGUCGGAACUGGGUAUAGGGGCGAAAGACUAAUCGAACCAUCUAGUAGCUGGUUCCCUCCGAAGUUUCCCUCAGGAUAGCUGGCGCUUAGAGCGCAAGAGUCUCGUCCGGUAAAGCGAAUGAUUAGAGGCAUUGGGGUCGAAACGACUUCAACCUAUUCUCAAACUUUAAAUGGGCGAGAUCUCCGGCUUGCUUGAUUUACUCUCUCACUUUUAAAGAGAGCGAGUUGAAGCCGCGAGAUAUUGGAUCAAAGUGCCAAGUGGGCCAUUUUUGGUAAGCAGAACUGGCGCUGUGGGAUGAACCAAACGUCGAGUUAAAGCGCCCAAAUCGACGCUUAUGGGACACCAUGAAAGGCGUUGGUAACUUAAGACAGCAGGACGGUGGCCAUGGAAGUCGGAAUCCGCU
rnacentral:rRNA from 1 species